rnacentral:rRNA from 1 species
AAAAACAUAGCCUUUAGCCAAACAAGUAUUAAAGGUGCCGCCUGCCCAGUGAUCUUCUUUUAACGGCCGCGGUAUCCUAACCGUGCAAAGGUAGCGUAAUCAUUUGUCCCCUAAAUGAGGACUCGUAUGAACGGCUAAAUGAGGGUCCAACUGUCUCCUAAGGCUAAUCAAUGAAACUGAUCUUCCAGUACAAAAGCUGGAAUAAACCCAUAAGACGAAAAGACCCUGUGGAGCUUUAAAACAAAACUAUACUGCACUAACCUUGCAACCCAAGAUACAAAACAUCUGCCUACAUAGUUAAGUUCUUCAGUUGGGGCGACUUUGGAGUAAACAAAACCUCCAUGCUAGAGAUCUCUCUACCGAGGCCAACAAGCCAAAAUAUAACACCUUGACCCAGUACACCUGAGCAACGAACCAAGUUACCCCAGGGAUAACAGCGCCAUCCUCUUCAAGAGUCCAUAUCGACAAGAGGGUUUACGACCUCAAUGUUGGAUCAGGACAUCCUAGUGGUGCAGCAGCUACCAAGGGUUCGUUUGUUCAACGAUUAACAGU